AGUGAUUCGGCGCACUGGUGUCACUAAAAAUUUCUUUUCCACUCGAAUGAUGGACAUUCGUGAUUCGCUUAAAUGUAUAUUAGCGUUUACAUGCAAUAUUCAGUGGGUAUGAGCGGUGCUGGCGUUAAUUUUGACGUUGCAGAGGGUAUUAACUCAGCGAUAAUUUCGUGGCAACAUAUUAGCGGAUGAGAUUUGGUGGAAGAAAAUUUCCAAAAAUUUCUAAUCGUCCGGAGAACCUUGAAUAUUGAAUUUUGAAAAUGACGUAAAUAUUGCAAAAUAAAUGGAUUCGCCAAUGAAGAAGAAGUUCUGAAAAAUUUCAAGUGUUUUUGCAUUUGAAAAGGAAAAACCAGAGAUCAUGCCGGUUAUCACUUGAUUCAAUUACAUGUUUCUGCACUUAAAUUUAUUUCUUAUCGGGAUAAAUGCAACCAGAUCAACACAAACGCAUUCACACCAUAUCAACAUUUUGAUUGACUCUAAUGAAUUCCGUGAACUUAACCUGAAUUCUAUUCCGAGAGCAUAAAAUUACAGCACUAAUUGAAUAUCUAUUUUUAUCCUGCAUCAGUCAUUCGCAUGUAAAUUCAGUUGAGAAGUGAAAUUGUUACGUUGCAAAUGCUUUCGAGAGUGAAUUUGGAUUAUUUCAACUGUUUGCAUCACUGUUGAUGUAACGUCAGACGAGGAACAGUCAUUCCGGUUGCAGUAUCAGAAGGGACUAUAUGCCCAAUGCUGCCGGAGGCGAAGCCCUUCGAUGUAAUUAUACCAGCCAAGCCUCAA